CUGAAAUAGAAGAGGUUGUGAUGGGAAAGAAGGGAAGAAAAAGCAAGAAUUUCAAAAACAUGGUUCGAUCUCAACCAGUCACAGAGACCACUGAUGAAUCAGUCCCUGGAUGGUGCAGGCAACCUCAACAUUACCCACCUCCUACCCAGCUUCUAUCAGCCUUCCUGAGAGUGAUGGAGAAAGCGAGGCACAGGGAGAUACUGUUGGUUUGGAUCAGGGUUGUGGUAGAGAAGGGAAGAGGACAGAUUACAGAUAUAUUUUGAAAGCAGAACCAACAAGGCCCAGUUGCUGAAUUAGAUGUGGAAGUGAGGGAAGGGAAGAAUCAAGGGUGAAUUGUGCUGCCAUUUGUCCAG